rnacentral:rRNA from 1 species
AGUGAACGCUGGCGGUAGGCCUAACACAUGCAAGUCGAACGGCAGCACAGUAAGAGCUUGCUCUUACGGGUGGCGAGUGGCGGACGGGUGAGGAAUACAUCGGAAUCUACUUUUUCGUGGGGGAUAACGUAGGGAAACUUACGCUAAUACCGCAUACGACCUACGGGUGAAAGCAGGGGAUCUUCGGACCUUGCGCGAUUGAAUGAGCCGAUGUCGGAUUAGCUAGUUGGCGGGGUAAAGGCCCACCAAGGCGACGAUCCGUAGCUGGUCUGAGAGGAUGAGCAGCCACACUGGAAGUGGACGACGGUCCAGACUCCUGCGGGAGGCAGCAUUGGGGAAUAUUGGACAAUGGCCGCAAGCCUGAUCCAGCCAUACCGCGUGGGUGAAGAAGGCCUUCGUGUUGUAAAGCCCUUUUGUUGGGAAAGAAAAGCAGCAGGUUAAUACCCCGCUGUCCUGACGGUACCCAAAGAAUAAGCACCGGCUAACUUCGUG